rnacentral:rRNA from 1 species
CCUACGGGAGGCAGCAGUGGGGAAUAUUGGACAAUAGGGGCAACCCUGAUCCAGCGACGCCGCGUGUGUGAAGAAGGCCUGCGGGUCGUAAAGCACUUUUAGUGGGGACAAAAAGCCCUGGGUUAAUACCCUUGGGUCUUGAUUUAACCCAAAGAAUAAGCACCGGCUAACUAUGUGCCAGCAGCCGCGGUAAU